rnacentral:rRNA from 1 species
ACUCAAAUGAAUUGACGGGGACCCGCACAAGCGGUGGAUUAUGUGGAUUAAUUCGAUGCAACGCGAAAAACCUUACCUACCCUUGACAUGUCCGGAAGGCUGCUGAAAGGCGGCUGUGCCCGAAAGGGAACUGGAACACAGGUGCUGCAUGGCUGUCGUCAGCUCGUGUCGUGAGAUGUUGGGUUAAGUCCCGCAACGAGCGCAACCCUUGUCAUUAGUUGCUACAUUCAGUUGGGCACUCUAAUGAGACUGCCGGUGACAAACCGGAGGAAGGUGGGGAUGACGUCAAGUCCUCAUGGCCCUUAUGGGUAGGGCUUCACACGUAAUACAAUGGCGCGUACAGAGGGCUGCUAAGCCGCGAGGUAGAGCCAAUCCCUUAAAGCGCGUCGUAGUCCGGAUUGCAGUCUGCAACUCGACUGCAUGAAGUCGGAAUCGCUAGUAAUCGCGGAUCAGCAUGUCGCGGUGAAUACGUUCCCGGGUCUUGUACACACCGCCCGU